rnacentral:rRNA from 1 species
GAUGAACGCUAGCUACAGGCUUAACACAUGCAAGUCGAGGGGAAACGAUAUUGGAAGCUUGCUUCCGAUAGGCGUCGACCGGCGCACGGGUGAGUAACGCGUAUCCAACCUGCCCAUCACUUGGGGAUAACCUUGCGAAAGUAAGACUAAUACCCAAUGAUAUCUCUAGAAGACAUCCGAAAGGGAUUAAAGAUUUAUCGGUGAUGGAUGGGGAUGCGUCUGAUUAGCUUGUUGGCGGGGUAACGGCUCACCAAGGCGACGAUCAGUAGGGGUGCUGAGAGGAAGGUCCCCCACAUUGGAACUGAGACACGGUCCAAACUCCUACGGGAGGCAGCAGUGAGGAAUAUUGGUCAAUGGACGAGAGUCUGAACCAGCCAAGUAGCGUGCAGGAUGACGGCCCUAUGGGUUGUAAACUGCUUUUAUAAGGGAAUAAAGUGAGCCUCGUGAGGCUUUUUGCAUGUACCUUAUGAAUAAGGACCGGCUAAUUCCGUGCCAGCCGCCGCCGUAA